UCCGCAUUGGUGUAAUGGUAACAUCGCCGGUUUUCAAUAGAAAACCAUAAACCCGGCAGCUCGGGGUUCAAUUCCCCGAUGCGGAG
rnacentral:tRNA from 2 species